UAUAUUUGAUUUGAUUUCUUUUCUUUCAAAAAAAAAUUCACUUAUUUAUCUCACACGCGUCUCUUGUUUAUCUCAUACGCGAUCAAGUGCAAGCCUUCCUUCCCCUCCAUCAUCGCAGCUUGGUCUUUUCCAUCGCGAUGAGAUUAAGUUGUACUCGUGGCGUUUCUGUUCUCCGCAGCUGAGCAUUGUUUACGGGGGAGGUGGUAAGAGGCCACGAAUCGUGCUCUCUGCCAGCUAGUGAGAAUAUAUUUAUUCGUAUGUUAAAAUGUCGGCAAGCGGUCAAGAGUGUACUCUCUUUAGGCCAACAGGCGGUUCUACGCUGAAUUGCAGAUACGGUGUAGUUUGAUGGUAGUCGCGAAACCGAUUCGACGCCGAUAACAAUUUACAUUCGCCGAUACCGAACUGGGACACGAUGCAGGUGCAACAGCAAAGGAGAAGAAGCAAUGGGCCCCGGGAUUGAGUGAAGCGAUGCAUUUAUCGAGGCCUGUACUUUGAGAGUGGGCAGAGCCGAUUCCAGUCUCAGAAGUUCAUCCACCGUGUAGCCGAGGUGCUAUUGUUCCAGAGCCAGCCGACGGAGACCAGACGAUGAGUGGAGGAGGAAGAGGUGGAGGAAGAAGCUAGCAAACGAGGUGGAGGAGGAUGCUAUCGAGAAAGAGGUGUAUCUAUAUAAGUAUGUGUAUAUAUAUACGUGAAAUGUAACUAUAUACAGGGUGUCUCGUGAUUUGUAGAUAUUGAUCGAAACAAAUAUACGAAAAAAAGUGAAAAAAGUUUGCACUAUAUAUCUAUAUAUAUAAGAGAAUAGAAUUCUCAAUGUAAGUGGAGCACCUGUUGCGUGGAGAUAUUUAAAAUCUUGCAUUGUGCAUGCAAUGUCUAUUGAAAAUCAUGAAAUAAUAUGUUUUUCGAAUAGAACAAAAUCUUCGGAUAAUCAGAUCAAUGAUAGUAUGUUUAUAAUGGAUUAUCUGGAAAUGCAAAAAUAAGUAUAUAUAAUCAAUUUUUAAAAUGAAUUUAUGAAUUAUAUUAUAUUACGGAACACCUUUUAUAUAUGUGAGUAUAUAUGCAUAUCUAUCGAUGAUAAAUAUAAUAACAGAUGAAAAGUAAGCCUUUCCCUUAGAGUUCAAACGAUUCAUACGCAUCGCCAGAGCGCAUGCGUAUAUACAUUAAUUUCAAUCGGCAGCGAGCAAACUUUUCGUUACAGUCUAUUUCGCAAGCCCUUCGCCAAUAUAAAGGUCAUUGAUGCGCUGGCGAUUCUUGAUAAUUAUUACCUGUGAGAUUGUUAUCGAUCCAUCGUAGAGGAAUUGCUUGCGGGAUAUUUCGCAAUAUUUUAGUUUUUUUUUAUUCCAUUGGAAAAAUUCAACCGAUUGAAUAUGAUCGAAUCUUGCCUCUAGCACUCUAUGAAACAAUUACAGUUUACUUUCUUAUGGAUAUUUUUGGAUAUCAAAUGCAUUGGAUAUUUCAUGAUAUAAUGUUCCAAUAUAAGAAAACAUAAUAUAAUUAUAUAUGAAAUUCUAUACCUUUUCAAAAUCUAUG